GCAGAAUUGUAAUUAAUUGCUUAAAUAAAUAUAAAAAAAAUAUAUUUGCUGUUUUAUAUGUCGUUAUAUUGAUUUUUUACAUUCUGAUUAGAUUGAUAUUUUUCAAAUAUAAACGUUUUCUUUUAAACUAAAAGGAUCAACUACAUAUUGUGUAAUUAUGAUGAAUGAAUAAGACAUAUAUCAAAUGUUCAAGGUUAUGUUGUUCACAGCUAAUCCAGAAAGAGGGGGCUUGCUUAGUUUUAAUCUUAACAAAUUCUUAUGGUGAAAUGCAAAAUCCAGCUGC
rnacentral:lncRNA from 1 species